AUGCCCGUGGUGGGGCUCAUCCCGUUCGUGUACGCGGCGAUCAAGAAGAAGCGGAGGUCGUCGUCAGCGAGGGCGGACCGCUACGCGGAGAUCGCCGCCAGCGCUGCCGCCGCGCGGGGGCGGGAGCGCGCGCGCUUCGACGGCGGCGGUGCGUACCUGUCCCAGAGCUGCCAUUUCGUCGUGCGUCCACCUUCGCCACCCGACGAGCUUGGUUUCACGUACCACGACGACUGCGCUCCGCGCCGCACGCCACCGGAGAGUCUCUCGCGGAAGCUUUCCUCGGCGGAUCUCUACGAGCGCCUGGUGGCCACGGGCGGGCGGGAGGACGCGCGCGUCGACGGCGGCGGCUACCAGUCCCAGAGCUGCCGGUUCGCGGCGCGUCCUUGGACAGCCGACGAGGUCGGCGCACAAUGCGACGGAGGCUCCGCUCGACGCGCGCAGCCGGAGGUUGUGCCGCGCCAGCUGCUUCCUCCGGCCAGCCGAGACGACCGCCUCGCCACAGGCGAGACGAGAGGACGGGAUAACGCGCGCUUCGACGGCGGCGGUUAUCAGUCUCAGAGCUGCCGGUUCGCCGCGCGUCCUUCGCCGGUCGACGAGCUCAGUGUUUCGCGCGACGAAGGCGGGGCCUCCCGCCACCCCCCGGCACAACUGGAGGGUCUCUCGCGGCAGCUGCUUCUGCCGGCCAGCCGAAAAGACCCCGUCGGCACCGGCGAGACGCGCUGGCGGGAGCAAGACCACGCUCGCUUGUAUGGCGGCAGUCACCAGUCUCAGAGCUGCCGGUUCGCCGCGCGACCUUCGGAUGCCUACAAGUUCGAGCUCGGUUUCUCGCAUGACGAAGAAUACGGCGUCGCCAGCCAGGCGCCGGAGGACCUCUCGCGCAAGCUGCUGUUGCCGGCCGGCCGGAGGGAGCGCGAGGUCUCCAGGUCCCUGAGGUUCAGCAGCAAGCGCGUGUUCGCGUGGGUCAGUGGCGCCUAA
rnacentral:rRNA from 1 species